rnacentral:lncRNA from 1 species
UCUCGGGGCCUGCUUGGAUCCAGGCGGCUGCAGCUUCCCAGCCCGGCUCUGCCUCCAUCUUCUGCCAUCUGGCUGUGGCUUCCUAAUGCAUGAACACCGUGUUUUGGUUUUGCAGUUAAAAGGAAAAGGGAAGAAACUAAGGUGAGGUCUUUUCUUACCUGAUCUUGGACAUAUCCUGCCAUAUCCUAGCCUACUCUAAACCAUGGUGCCUGUAUCCUGACUUCCUCCUCGCCCUUCCUCCACUGGAAUUCAGAAUCCAUCCUCUACAUAUAUUGGGCUAUGAUUGAU